GAAGAAAACGAAAAGCGCAGUUUAUUUUGGAUUUUAAAGAGAGAAACUAAAAGGCUUAACUAGGAGAAAAAGAAAACAUUUGGAGGAUUCAAGUAUAUUGGGUACAACAAACAAAUUAGAGAUUUUCGACGUGGAUCCUAUCAAUCAGUUAAGUUUUAGUUUUAAAUAAUGAAUAAGAAAACCUUUUCAAACCUCUUGAGCAAGGAAAAAUCGAAAUUUGAAGCUACGGUGGCAAAAUUUCGAAGACUGAAUGAAUCUGUUCAAGAGGUCGCGGUGCUUCAAAAGACGUUUAUAAGACGAAUAAUGGAUCUAUGCGUGUGAGCCCAAAACAAAACAGCAAUCGACAAAUAAAAAAAAAUAAAAAAUAAAACAUUUUCGUUCAUAAAUAUGCCCAUUUACAUUAUUAGGCCAGAAAUAUAUAUAGCAACCUACGUAUUUGCACAAUAGACGAUGUGUUGUUAGUGUCGAUGGAGUGUCAUCCGAUUCAUUCAUUGCGUCUUCGGGAGUGCCACAAGGAAGCGUUUUG